CCUACGGGGGGCUGCAGUGAGGAAUAUUGGUCAAUGGACGAGAGUCUGAACCAGCCAAGUAGCGUGAAGGAUGACUGCCCUAUGGGUUGUAAACUUCUUUUAUAUGGGAAUAAAAUGUUCCACGUGUGGGAUUUUGUAUGUACCAUAUGAAUAAGGAUCGGCUAACUCCGUGCCAGCAGCCGCGGUAAUACGGAGGAUCCGAGCGUUAUCCGGAUUUAUUGGGUUUAAAGGGAGCGUAGGUGGAUUGUUAAGUCAGUUGUGAAAGUUUGCGGCUCAACCGUAAAAUUGCAGUUGAAACUGGCAGUCUUGAGUACAGUAGAGGUGGGCGGAAUUCGUGGUGUAGCGGUGAAAUGCUUAGAUAUCACGAAGAACUCCGAUUGUGAAGGCAGUUCACUGGACUGCAACUGACACUGAGGCUCGAAAGUGUGGGUAUCAAACAGGAUUAGAUACCCUUGUAGUC
rnacentral:rRNA from 1 species